UGUUCGCUCUUGGUAGCUCUUUGACCAACAAUGGACGCCGGUGUCUAUGAUCCAAAGGCGCAGGUGAAGGCCGUGGCGGCGGAGCUGAAAUCAAUGAACACCACCCGGCUCCUCGAGGCAGUCGAUGUUAUGUCCACUUCCCUAGUAAUGGGCUUCGAGGGAUAUUUACGCAAGUUCGACUCUGCAACCGCCAUCCCACUCCUUGCCGACGUGUGCGAGACGUUCAUUAGGGAGGCUGCGCAGGGCGACCUCCUCGUCAUGGCACUGCGUGCCCUUUCCCUCAUCAUGGAGCACGUUCCGUCUUCCUACGAGGCAGCGCAGGGAUUCCACGUCUCUCUCAUGCAACUCGCAUCGCAGGCGAUCCACCGCGCGCUCUGCACGGAGUGGAAGUUUGUACAGUCGAACAACGCCUUGAUGAUUGAGGAAGGUCUGCGCGUCAUGCGGUUCGUCAGCAAGGACGAUAUGACUGGCGAGAUAAUCCACCACGCCCUUGUCGGCGACUUGCUGACCCUGUGCACGGACCCGCACCCGCUGGUGGCACGACAGGCAUUGGAAACGCUGUUGAUGGUGAGCUCCAAGGUGGUGAUGCCGUCAGAGCUCGAGAAGCGGACGCAUUCCUUCGCCGCUGGCAUCCUUUCAUUCUUCAAGUCAAAGAAGAAGUCGUCACGCACCGGCAGCGACACAGGCAAGGCUGGCCAAACGUCCGUCUCCAGCGGAAGCUCGUCGACGAAGGCGGCCGCGGCCGAGGACAUUGUGCCAUACGCGGAUCACCCCACGGUGGCGCAGGUUGAGAAUGUUAUCGUGCCUCUGCUCGUGUCCCUGAUAGAGCAGUACGCCAAGUCGUUCACGUCGAUUCCUGAGCACUGGGCCCUGCUCGAGCUGUCGCUGCAGUGUCUCGGCACGCUCAUUGAGCGAGCGCUGAUUUGUCACCGACCGCAUACCGCCCGCGUACUUGCCUCGCCCCUGCUUCCCAAGAUCCUGUUUCAGCUCAUCCUCGACACGGAGUCGAACGUGACUCUGGAGCCCAGCGUUCGCGUCGACCGCCUCCUCCUAUGCGAGACGACUUUGACGCUACUGACGUACUGCCACCGCUACUUGAUUCUCGAGAGCCUGCAGCUGCCGGAGGCGCGCCGCUUCUUCCGGCUCAUCCUGGAGGACUCGACGGAAGAGAUUACCACCCUUCUAGAUGACCCUUUCCCGCGCGCUGUCAUUGCCACCCGCAGCACGCAGCGCCGCGACAAGGAUCACAUCACCUCCAUCGCUGCCCUGCAGCUCUUCGUACUAGCCUGCCCGACGGUGCCCCCGAACGCCUUUGGCCUGAAGCCUAAGCUGGUGCUGCCAGUGCACCAGUGGAUGUGGGAGGAUGAACUGCGCCACAACAACCGCCUAAUGGAGGAGCAGUGCUUAUCCCUCGAGCGGAGCUGGACGCGACUUGAUCACCGCGCCCGCAUCUCUGUCCACUUGAAGCACCUGAAUGUGGACUUGCACACCAUGACAAUGUCCAAGGCUGCCGGCGGAGGACACCGCAACGUCUGCCGCAGCUACGUCCCGUUUGUGUACCACUUCGCAGACGAGAUGACACUGCGGCCCAUCGUUGCCGUUAAGGAGGCCGGGCCGUGCGCGGAGGACGGCACAAUGCUGACGUGGAAGCCGACUGUAUCGGGGACGCACGGCAGCAAAACGGCGGCCAGCGCUUCGAUAGCGAAGCAAGUGGACGGAAACACGAGCGGCUCGAGCUGGGCGAAGCGAAGUCGCCGCAAAGGCGUUAGCACACCUUCUUUGUCCGAAGGCGAAGUCACGAACGCGACGGACUCUGCGCCUUCGACGGUGGUGCUGAACACGCAAGUGGAGGUUCCAGAGGAUCACGUUUCGCUCGCGGAGGAGUACUUUGGCUUUCUGUGCGUCUUUGCGAAGAACACGUCGGGGCAGAUGGCGAAGCAGGUGGCCACGUGUGCGUGCGCGUCGAUGCUGCAACUUAUGUUCCUCUCCGGUGCCUCGGCGCGCUUUGAGGGGCUGAUGGCCACGGCGGUACUGCCCAUGUGCGAGAUGUGCCGCGAAGCUCUCAUCUCGGCGGACAAGGCUACCAAGGCGGUUGUUCUGACGAUGAUUGAGUGGAUGCUGUACCACCCAAUGGCCGAGCCGUGCCAGUUUACAGAGAGCGCACUGCGCUGCGGUUUGCUGGACCAGCUGGAUAUGCUGUCCAAGACGACGCUGCUGGUGCGCAGCAAGCCGACUCGGACGGCGACGCUCGUGGAGAAGGCGAGCGCGCUGGUGGGUUGCAUUGCCGAGAAAAUAGAGAACCGCCGUGCCGCGCACGUGGGUGGGGCGGGCAUAAAUGCGAGCGUUGGGAGUAAAACUACUCUCGGAGACGCGUUUCUGUCGACGACGAUGCUGCGUGUGCAGACGGUGCUGGACGAGCUCCGGCUGUGCCACUGCGGGGCCGUCAAGGGCACGGUGGCCGCCACCAGCAGCAGCAGGACAAGCACAGCCAUAGCUGCUGACAAAAACGGAAGCCCUACGCGGGCGAUCAAGGCACUCGCUGAUACACACGAGAGCGCGAUUCGCGAGCUGCUGCGAAUCUUCCAAGAGUCGAACGACAUCACCGCCUUCGAGGUCUUCACCGCUGGCGUGGCAUCGACGCUGCUGUACUACCUUCUCGGUGACCGGACGCUGGAGGACAUGCUGGGCGGCACAUUGGUGUUCGCCUCCGGUGCCUCCGCCUCCACCUUGAGGCACGAAACUGUUCCGCUUUCAGAGGUGCACACUGGACCGAUCGACCGAAACACGUCGUCGUGGACGGCCAUGAUGGCAAGCGGUAUGCAUGUUGCCGACAUCCUUGCCAUGUACGUGGUUGAAAAGCGCUUGCGGUGCUUUAUCCAGUGCGCCGUGGCCUACCCUAUCGGCAUGCGCCGGCUUGUGCACACCCUGACGGCGAACCUGUCUUUGCAAAGCUACCUCCCGCUUGUCGAGUCGGUGGUGACCUACGACAAGGUGGUGUGCAAGACCCCUCUACAGGCAUAUCACGCACUCAGCGUGAUCUCGCCGUUGAUCGCACUUUGUGGCGAUGCCGGCCGGCGCAUUUCCGCCGCGAUCAAGACCGCGACAGACGACGACGCUGUACCGCUUCCUCGUAGCAGCUCCUCUGCAACCGCGGCCGGAGACGCCUCGGCGCCUGCUGUAUCGUCCUCGAACGGGACGGAGCCGAAGCAACGCAAGACAAGCUUGCUGGCGUCCUCAUUUGUACGUAGCCGGACUGCGUCGUGGCGGGCAAACGACCCGACCAAGGUCGCGCGCAUGGCAAAGGAGUGCUGCAUGGCGGGCCACCCCCUGCACCAUAUGGAGCACUACCCGCAGCUGCGCCGAUGCGACAAGUGCAACCGCAUCAUCUCCAGCGGUCGCAGCUGCCGCACAUGCAACUACGACGUAUGCCAGAACUGCUACCCCGGCUACACGGGUAACGUGAACCUGAUUCGGUCACUUUCCACGAUGGAGCGGAACCGCGUACACCUGUGCGCCACUAUCGGCGAUGUAGAGCGGUGGUUCCGCACCGGGUCCACGUCGACCAAGGGCACUGAGUCGGCCCCUACCUCUCAGUCGUCGCUUCAUCAUCUCGAGCGGUUCACGACGCGUGUCCUCACCUUCUUGAAGCGGUAUACGUCGGUUCUCGAUUUGUCUGCGGUCUCAAUCAUCCCACACGCCAGCGGUGCAACAGCGUCCAACCUUCUCGCCUGUGCGAGCCCGGCCGCAAGCAGCGAUCUUCUGGUGAAGCUUGCGGAGAAACUGUUAAGUCACCCCAGCGUCGUACGGCGCUUGACGUACAAGUACCUUUCGCAGUUUUCGACGCGCGGGGCGCUGAUGGACGAGGGCACGCCGAUAACGCCGGAUGUUGCGGCCACCCUUGAUGUCGAGGUGCAGAGGGUGCUGAGCACCGCGGCGGAGAGGCACGCAGCUGAGAGCAUAGUGCAGGAAGCGGUGGAGGAGCGCUACAUCUUGUAUCGCACCUCAUGCGGCAUGCUCCCGUUCCAGGAGACGGUGCUGAGCACACUUUACCGCCGUGCCUUUGCCCUCGGCGAUCAUCAAGUGCUCCUGCAACUGGAGAACUGUCUGCUGCGGGCUGACAGCACGGUGGAGGGGCCUCUGACGCUGCAGGCGAACAGCUCCGUGACGAUCGAGAAUCCGGCUGCCUUGUCAAUUCGAUUCAACGCUAACGUGAAGGUGACCAAGAAGGCCAAGUCGGUCAAGUCACCGCUUGCAGUGGCCGGGGCCUGCUCUUCCAGCGCCGCGGCUGCGACCGCGGCAGGGGAGCCGGUCAUGACCUCCGUGGAAAAGUCGGCGGGGGCGCGCGAGUUCGAUGGCCACCGCGUCGGACUGGACCAGACUUACCUCUUUCACCACUUCGAGAGUGACUCGGCAGCGUUCUGCGCGUGCGGUGCACACUCCCGCGCCGAUUUUCACACGGAGGAGCCGCCGGCGCUCACUUUCACGCCACCCGCCUUUGCCCACAGGGCUGAUAUGCUGCUGCUCAUCAUCCUUCACCGCGCGCUCUUUGAAGAGACCCAUGGGCUGAUCGCCUACGCCGGGGAGGCGAAGGAUAUUUUCGGCACUGAUGACAGCAUCUUCCAGAACAACACGAUCACCACCGCGCUGGUGCGCUCGCUGGAGGCGUCGGCGCUGCGUGUGAGCUUGCUACCGCCGCGCUACGCGCUGCCGCGGUGGGUGAACUUCCUGCUGCGUGAGGGGCGCUUCCUCAUCCCGCUGUCGGUGCGGGAGCGUGCGUCGCGCUUCUUGGCCUACGGCGCACGGCGCGCCUUCAUCCAGCACAUGCGUGUCUUCCGUAGUCAGCGCAACGACAGGGCGGUCUUGAUCUUGCCGGGGGAGUGGGCGAAGUUGUCGAACCACAAGUUCGCUGUCAGCCGCGACGCGUUUGCGCGCGACGCGUACACGAUGCUGCGCAAGUGCUGCGACGCGCGGUUCCCUAUCUCGAUCGAGUUCAAAGGCGACGUCGGCGUCGGCCAGGGGCCCACGGCGCAGUUCUACACUCUGCUGGCGGCUGAGGCGAGCAAGUGUUGUACCAGGCUCUGGCGCGAUAGCGACGACAAGGCUAACGGCAGCAGCAACAACGCUGCAGCUGUGUCAAACUCUUCCGCAGGGAUCGUGAUGGCAACUGGCCCGCUGAUGGUUGGUCCGCCGCCGAAGGGGCUGCCGCCGCGCCGCAGCAGCGUCACACCCAUAACCUCCCCACCUCGCAUCGGCACCUCCCGCCCUGGCUCCGUCACCAAUGGUGCUGGCGGCACCGUGAGCACACCGCGCUUGGGCUCGAUUCCUACCCAGUCUUCCUUGCGCAAUUUUGCGCGCGCAGACUCGGCGCAUCUUACGACACCCAGCGCGACCCUCAGCCCGAGUCCGUCCAUGACGACGGCUGCUGAGGCCGACGCAGUUCUCAUUCCACCACCGGAGGGCUUUUAUCCGCGCCACAUGGAUGGCGUGCGACGCUACCUCGAAGACAUCGACAGUUUUCCCGCGACGCCUCUACUGUGUUGCAGCCACAGUCACACCGUGCACGACGACAGCGCCACCCAUGCAUUGAGCCAAAGCAGCAGUGAACACUUCGGCUCGACGACGACUCGAAAAGGUCCCGCCUUCACCGACCACGCCUCCACUGCGGGGGCUGGUGGCCAUCGUACGAACAUCAACAGCUUCAAUGCCUUCGCGGUGCAGUACGACCUCAGCAAGGCGGCUUUUUUGGUGGACAGAAACGUUGGUUUGAUGAGGGACUAUGUCCUGGAACAGCGUGAGCGCGCCAAGGCCUACUACGUCAUUGGCGCUGCACUCGGCCGCGCCUUCGUCGACGAGCAAGUGUUCCCGCUUCCACUGUCACGGGCGGUAGCCUACUUCAUCCGUCGUGGCGUGCCGGCCUACCAGUGCGUUGUCUCCGAUGUGACGCACAUUGACCCGCCGCCAGAGUACCCGAUCGACCUGUUCGAGUUACCGUUGACAGCGGCGAGCUGGGUGGACCAGGGCAUCGCAGACAGCCUAGCAUGCUUGUCCACCAUGGAUAGCUCCACCCUCGCCGCACUCGACCUGCGUUUCACUCUCCCGGGGGAUGACAGCGUCGAGCUUUGCCCUGAUGGGGCACAGAUCCCGGUGACCAAGAAGAACCUGCGCCUGUAUCAGCGCCGCGUUGUCGGGGCGUUGCUGUACGAGUCCGUGGCGGUGCCGUUGUACUUUUUGACGAUGGGCUGCCGGGACGUUGUGCCGCACGAGGCGCUCACGGUGAUGGACGUGAAGGAGCUUAUUGGCGUGCUUUGUGGCGAGGACAAGAACCCAAGCGACCCUCUGUGGACGACAGAAGAGAUUCGCUCUGUGCUGGUCGGCGACCACGGCUACCGGAACGACUCACCGCAGCUCGAAUUACUGGCGAAGGUACUUGGCCAGCGGCUGACUCCAGCAGAGCAGCGCGAAUUCCUGCUCUUCUGCACCGGUUGCCCCCGGCUACCUAUUGGCGGCAUCCGCGCUCUCGGUGCCAUCACGGUAGUGAGGCGCUCAAACGCGUUUGUGGACGAGCACACGGAAGCGCUGCGGGGAGAAGCGGCAGCAGCGACGACGAGCAGCAGCGGCGGCGGUGGAACGCUUGACAUGGAAGGGGAGGAGGACGACGGCGGAGGCGGCCUGAUGGGCGGCUUGUACGAUCACACCGCUCAGUCGGAUGUGGAAGACUCGCCGUCUGGACAGCGUGAGGCACCGCACCGCAUGUUCUCCCCCGUCUACCCUGCGGCAUCAGAGGAGCCGGGUGGCAUGUCGUCAAGUUUUGUCUUCCACCUACCUGAGUCUGAGUGGGCUCUGCCAUCGGUGAAUACAUGCUUUCGGUACUUAAAGCUGCCGCCAUACCCCAGCGAGGAGCUGCUGUACAAGAAGCUCCUGAUGAGCAUCAUGGAAUCUGGUAGCUCCUUCGAGCUUUCGUAGACACGACUUCUGCACACGUCUUUCCUCUGCCUUUCAUCUCCCGUUCUUCUCGUUUCUCUCCGGCCCCUCCUUCUUUCUUUAUACGUCUGUUGCAUCCUCUGGGAUGAUUUGUGGUGGAGCUGGUGCACAACGCUGUGAGGGUUGUCGCGGAUGCGGCGGGUUUUCGCUCAAGACUUGAAGGCGGCUGCGGUGGUGUUUUGGCACUCGCAUCUGUGCGCUUCUGUAGGGCCACUCCUCUUUUUUUUCGUGUUUGCUCUUCUUUUUCCGUGGCGAAGGGGUUUUGGGUAGAGAAGAGCUGGGGGAGGGCCUUUGGGCCCCCUUCCCCUCCCCCCUUCUCUGCACUGUGCUACUUUUGCUGAUGCAACUUCUUUUCGCCGGUGUCUAGCACUUUCUCCCUCUCUCCAUAUUCGUCUCUUUCUUCACCCGUUGACUGCUGUACCCCCUCCGCCCCUUCAUCUUUCGUCUCGUCUCUUCGUCUGUACUGUUUCGUUGCUUUAUCGUUUUUCUCCCUUUUGGUUCCUUGCCCUCUGUUUUCUGUUUCUCUUCCCUGCUUGAUGCUUUCCCUUUCCUUCACUCGCGCUGCUGCUCUUCCUCUGCCGCCCCUCUCCCCCUUUUCUCCCCUACUCCCUUCCCGUCUCUUGUUACGUGCUUGCUCACCGUCUCCCCGCUUGCAAGCGUCCGUACGCCCACGAACUCACAGCUGACCUCCGCAUGCGCUCUUUUUCUUCCUUCGCGCUCCUCUGGUUGCUCUCUUUCCUUGCGUAUUGUGCUGCCUCUCAUACCUACCUCGGUGCGGGCUUGGGUGCUUCUGUGCUGCUCAGUUGCCUCUUUUUCGAUGUGCACGUCUGCGUGCGUGUGUCUUGCCAUAUCUGUCUCUGGAAUGAUCGGUGGCGCGCGCGCUCUUACCUCGUUAUUUCCUUCGCGGCGCUGUGUUUGGGAAUGAGUUGGUAUUGUUGUUUUGCGACUCAUCCAUCUUUCUCAGUGAUGAGGUGUCCCUAUGCUCUCUCUCCUACGUCUCUGCGCGGGUGUUUGCCCUAGCAGUAGGCUCUCCCACUGCGUCAGUACGGAGGGUCCGAGAUCGUGCCGGUUGCUGGCGCAAGCCGCUGUGAACGAUGCUAGCUCUCCGUUUUUUUUUUUUGCUGUGCGUUUUCUCUUUCUGUUGCUGUUUUAGGAUGUUGAAGCUACUUCGGAUCGUGCCGUGACUGUCUGUGCAGCCGCCUUCACUUCUUGUCGUUAUUGACUCUGGGUGAAUGGGGGUAUAUCGUUUUGACUCGGUGCCACUGCUCAUCCACCUCUCCCUUUACUCCCUCACCACCACCACCAUUGCAGUCUCCUGUACAGCUCCCCCCUCAAAACAACCACAACAGAGAUGAAUUUCGAAAAAGAAUAGAUAAAAACAAGCUUUAGCUGUGGCGGCUGUUGUGGCCCCAUUGGAAAAGAAAAAACGCUGCCCCUUUUCCCUUUUCUCGACAAGGUGCCACACUACGCUGUGGCACGUGUUUCUUUCACUUCUUCACCAAACCUGGAGAUUCCUGUCGAUGUGUGCUUGUGUGUGUGUGUGUGUGCCAGGGCGCAAAACAACAUUGUCGCUACCGCUGACGCUGGCCUUCCAACCAGCGGCUCUGUUUUGCGCCUCGCCAAGACUGUGGGCCCCCUCCCCCUCCCCCUCCCCCACGUGCACACUCACACACACAAGCCCGGAGGCUCGCUGCCACUUCUCUCGCCACGACUCGCUCCUCGUUGGUGGUGAAGGAACGCGCCAUCUUUCUCUAUUUCGGUGCGCAAUUCACUCACCCUGUUGCCCUGUCCUUUUUUCGACCUCCCUUCACGCAUUACCACGCCCCGCAG
rnacentral:misc_RNA from 1 species